GAUGAACGCUGGCGGCGUGCCUAAUACAUGCAAGUCGAGCGAACAGACGAGGAGCUUGCUCCUCUGACGUUAGCGGCGGACGGGUGAGUAACACGUGGAUAACCUACCUAUAAGACUGGGAUAACUUCGGGAAACCGGAGCUAAUACCGGAUAAUAUAUUGAACCGCAUGGUUCAAUAGUGAAAGACGGUUUUGCUGUCACUUAUAGCUGGAUCCGCGCCGCAUUAGCUAGUUGGUAAGGUAACGGCUUACCAAGGCAACGAUGCGUAGCCGACCUGAGAGGGUGAUCGGCCACACUAGAACUGAGACACGGUCCAGACUCCUACGGGAGGCAGCAGUAGGGAUUCUUCCGCAAUGGGCGAAAGCCUGACGGAGCAACGCCGCGUGAAUGAUGAAGGUCUUCGGAUCGUAGAACUCUGUUAUUAGGGAAGAACAAAUGUGUAAGUAACUAUGCACGUCUUGACGGUACCUAAUCAGAAAGCCACGGCUAGGUACGUG
rnacentral:rRNA from 1 species